rnacentral:sRNA from 1 species
GGCGAGUCCGCCGCCGCGGAGGGACCAGCGCGGGUCUCGCCGCUGCCGCCGUCCCCACCAUCCCUGACCGCGCCUGCCCGGGCUCCGCGCCAGGAGGGGCGGCCAAGCUCAGCCCCGGCACCGCGAGAUCGGGGACCCCGACGGCGCCCAGCCCGGCGAAGGGCCUCAGGGGGAGGACAAGGAGGAAAGGCGGCGUCGCCGGGGACCCGGCCAUGGCGCUGGACUUCUUGGCUGGAUGCGCGGGGGGUGUGGCCGGUGUGCUUGUGGGACACCCGUUUGACACGGUCAAGGUGAGUCUCAUCGCUGCUUUUUUUCCUCGGCGCGUACAUGGAGAGAGGCUCACAGGGUUUGGGUGGCUGGAAGCCUGUUUCCGUGUACAGCCCCAGGUGGGCAGCUGCUUUUACACCAGGCUGGGUUGAACCUUCCUCAGUGCUUUGUCCUGGCAUCUCCCAGCUGAGGCUGAUCCACAUGCUGGGUUCAUGGCCAAGUCCAUCCUGGGCUUGGGUAGCUGGGAUUGAGGUGCUGAGGUUUU